CAAAACAUUUUUACUUACAAUGUAAAAUAAUCCGGACGGGAGUCAAAACAAAAAGACAAACAUUAAGCUACAGCUCAGAAACCUGAUAGUUGUUUUGUAGCUUAAACGGAUAAAUAUCCGUGUGAAAUGACGUACCUCCUCGGUCUAUGUAUCCUUCAUACAAGAACUUUUUCAAGUGCUUCAGCUCCGCCACGGCAUUAAGGAUCCUCGGCGAUUGGCAACUGUCGUUGAGCUUCAGUUCAACCGAAAUUAGUUGGGACAGUGCUUCGCAAUCGAUUUGGCCAACAGAUCGCUCCAGGUGUCUGAUCCACAGCUAAAUUCCACAAUCGACGGGCCACAGUUCGCCAAUAGAACGCGAUAAAGCCGCACCGGAAAAUGUAUUUUUGGGGAGAA